ACCGGGCACCGUGACGGGCGCCUGUGAACCAGUGUCUAGGCGGUAGAUUGUUGUGGAUGGAGUGAAGCGAAGAGCUCCGCGGUGGCCGUGGAGUGCUGUAACCUGACUUCCGUGUCGAGCGUUGCGUUGCCAUAGCUGUACCAUUGGAAAGUGGGAUUUCCCGAGCGGUCAAGAGUAGUGUUCGGCUCUUGCUCCGAAAGGGAGCUGGCAAAAGCCUCCACGCUACAGAAUGGUCAGGUAGCACCCAUGAGCACACGCUCUGUCGUGGCCUCUUCGACACCUCACUUCCAAUCGU
rnacentral:SRP_RNA from 1 species